UGCUAUGACCGGGUAUCCGGCCUGAGAGGGUGAACGGACACACUGGAACUGAGACACGGUCCAGACUCCUACGGGAGGCAGCAGUAGGGAAUAUUGCUCAAUGGGGGAAACCCUGAAGCAGCAACGCCGCGUGGAGGAUGAAGGUUUUAGGAUUGUAAACUCCUUUUGUUAGAGAAGAUAAUGACGGUAUCUAACGAAUAAGCACCGGCUAACUCCGUGCCAGCAGCCGCGGUAAUACGGAGGGUGCAAGCGUUACUCGGAAUCACUGGGCGUAAAGAGCGCGUAGGCGGGAUAGUCAGUCAGGUGUGAAAUCCUAUGGCUUAACCAUAGAACUGCAUUUGAAACUANCUAUUCUAGAGUGUGGGAGAGGUAGGUGGAAUUCUUGGUGUGGGGGUAAAAUCA
rnacentral:rRNA from 1 species